UGCCACCGUAGCUCAGUCGGUAGAGCAGCUGAUUUGUAAUCAGCUGGUCGGGGGUUCGAGUCCCUUCGGUGGC
rnacentral:tRNA from 1 species